UGGCUACUGUGUAAAUUCUUCAUCUAGAAGAAAGGGAGGUUCUGAAGUGUUGUUAGGUUUGUAAAAACAUGAAUCUUGAGAUUUUCAUACAUAAGUACAUUGGAUUGAUUGGAUAUUGGUCAGUAUAAUUAUGAAUUUUUUUUUACUAUGCUUAUACUUGGUUGAUUGGUUGUUUUGUUUUUGUCAGUAUAAACAUGAAUCUUGAGAUUGUUUUUUCACUAUCCAAUCAAUCCCCACCGACAUGCCUCACCUCUCUCAAGUCCCCGGGAUUCUUUCCACUGGAAAUGGAGUUUUCUCAUUCUUUGAGGUAGAGCAAAGUGAACCUUAAGAUAUGCCAGUAUUCUUAUGAGCUUCUGCUGCAAUAUUUACACAAGACACAAUCCAUUACAAUGCUUGGGAUUAUUAUUGAGCAUAUUAACUUUCAAGUUUCUCCUGGACAACCAAGCUCAAUUUCUGAUGAUGAAGGUGUUACACUUGUUGGGAGUGGCCAGGAUGCAGCUAAUAUGAUAAAUCAGAAAAAAAUACACUGGGGGCUGCAUCUUAGUUGCACGAAGCAGGAGCGGAAGCAGUGGCGGGGGCGGGAGCGGGGACGCGUGAGCUGAUAGAAGUUUCUUAGGUUGGGAGCGCCUCGGGGAACGAUUUUCCCUCUGCUGCUCUCCAGCCCUGUUCUUCUUCUUCCAUACCCUCGCUCCCGAAACUACUGCUCUCCAGAUAAAAGAGCGAUUGAUCCAGGUUACAUGCCAUAGGGAGGCCCGUGUCAAAAUUGAAGGAUUUUGUGCUGUAAUUAUUGGGAGUGAUGCCUUAAUCCACGCCUAAAUGGCAGAUGAUAUGAUGAUGUGUUUGCUUUUUGUUGAAUGCUGGUCUCCUCAGUGUCAUGGCCAAGAAACCCGAUUCUUUUGUAGUUUCUUGCCAUCUCUACAUAGUUUCAGAGAAUGCUGAUAAUGCCUGGGAGAAUCUUUGCCCCCUUUUGUAUAUCUUAGCUUUUAUUUUGGUCUUUUGUUAAUAUAUUCUUUAUUUAUGGAUCUAGUGGCCAAUUUGCAAUCUGACCAAUCUUUUUGGGUUUAGUUCAGAGGUAUUAACUUGUUAUAUAGUGGGAUAAUUUUGCUGAUGUGUUAUGAAUGGAAGAAUAUUUUUAUUAUGGAUGAAUUGUUAUUUUUAU